GCAGUACCAGCCCCGCCUGCAGGGCGGCAGCACCACGGCGGCGCCCCGGCCCAUCUGCACCUUCUGCCUCAGCAACCAGAGGAAGCUGAGAUGUUAACCAACCAUGAAUGGGAAGUUAUAUGCUUCACAUGACAGCACAUGAGAUGGCACAAAAGAGACAAAGCAUAUUCAGCUUAAGGGAUCUGACCAGCUAUGCAACAAGCCUCGAGAGAAGACCAAGCAAAGGUCAAAACACAUUGAAGAAAUGAUCGUAAGUACCUAAAAUUGGAUCAACAUUGGAAUGGAAAGACAUGCAAAAUAAAGACAGAGUGGUGUGUGUUCAAAAGAAGUGAAAUGGUAAUUUCCAAGGUGAUUUCUGAUUUUGCUAAUUUUAUAUUGUUUUGUUUUUGUUGUAAGAAAGUUUUUUUUAACUCUAAAGGGACUGAGGUUAUUGGCCAUCACUGUCUGUCCCUUUUAAGAAAUGCAACGUAGUAUAUCUAUUUGAACGCAAUCUGGACACAUCCUUAAAUUAAAUGAUGUCAUUCUUAUUGCUAGCUUGACAACACGGGGCAGACAGCACUCCACAGGCAGGGCUCCUGCAGGGAGACUGCAUCUCAUCGUAUGCUGCAAACGCUAGGCUCUGGAAUGUCUAUCAGUGUUGUCCAUGUGCUAUGGAUGUGAUGGGAGCAUAGCUGAUAGCUUCUUGUACAGCGAGAAUCCAUGGGCCACAAAAAUGCUGAGCUGGAGGUCAGUUAGUUGUUUCCCCAUUCUCCCCAAUUCUCAAAGAGUGCCAAAUGAAGGUAAUAUGGUAACAUAAGGCAUGCUCCUUCCCAUGGGCUCCAAGAUACUCUACUCAUGUCCUGGUCCUGCCCAGGAAAAAGCAGUCUUAAGGAGGGUCCAAUACUGACCAUUUUUGGGAACUUCUCCAGACCACUGUGUCUUGUUUCGCAAGUGAGCCAGGAUGCAUUAUGGAGAAAGGCCUCUAUCCUCACCCCUUGAGAAGAGCUAUAAUAGGUAACAGGGGCAAGAACCCUCCCUCCCAAGUCUUGCUGGGAUUAUGUUGGCUAGGACAGCCCACAA